AGCGAACGCUGGCGGCGUGCUUAACACAUGCAAGUCGAACGUGAAAGGGGGCAACCCUGAGUAAAGUGGCGUACGGAUGAGUAACGCGUAGACAAUCUACCUGAGUGUCUGGAAUAACCUGCCGAAAGGCGGGCUAAUACUGGAUAGAGCGACGGAACCUGUAAGGGGUUUUUCGGGAAAGGGAGGCAGCAAUGCCCCUCGCGCUCAGAUGAGUCUGCGUCCCAUCAGCUGGUUGGCGGGGUAACGGCCCACCAAGGCAAUGACGGGUAGCUGGUCUGAGAGGAUGAUCAGCCACACUGGAACUGAAACACGGCCCAGACUCCUACGGGAGGCAGCAGUGGGGAAUCUUGCGCAAUGGACGAAAGUCUGACGCAGCCACGCCGCGUGAGUGAAGAAGGCCUUCGGGUUGUAAAGCUCUGUCGAGCGGGACGAAAACCUGCCGGUUAAUAGCCGGUAGACUGACGGUACCGCUAAAGGAAGCACCGGCUGACUCUGUGCCAGCCGCCGCCGUAUAC
rnacentral:rRNA from 1 species